UGAACACAAAGACGAAAAGAGACAUGAAAUGCCUUUUUAAGAUACCAACCUGGAUAAGACUUGUGAUUGUGAAACAUCAGCUUUCUACUCGACAGAGGAGGAAGAUGCACCUUCUCCUGAUACGGAGGAAAGGGUGACCGAGCCAGAAGUUAACAAAACAUGAACCUGGUACUGAAAGGGAUGCAGGCGAUGAAGGUGGUCCAGAGGAGCCAACAGAUGAGAAGGAAUUGACGUCUGUGGAUGGACCAGACAAACCUGACAGGUCCGGUGAAACAUCACCCUGCUACUCGGGAGAAGCCGAGGACGCACAGUCUCCCGAUGAGGAGGUACUGUCUCCUUUUGUUAUUUUUCUUCUUCUUUUAAUAUCUAAC